rnacentral:rRNA from 1 species
UACGGAGGGUGCAAACGUUAUUCGGAAUCACUGGGCUUAAAGGGUGCGUAGGCGGUUUGUUAAGUAGGGUGUGAAAGCCCCCGGCUCAACCGGGGAACUGCGCCCUAAACUGGCGGACUAGAGUGAGAUAGGGGUGUGCGGAACUUCCGGUGGAGCGGUGAAAUGUGUUGAUAUCGGAAGGAACGCCGGUGGCGAAAGCGGCACACUGGGCCUUAACUGACGCUCAUGCACGAAAGCUAGGGUAGCGAAUGGG